CAGUAGCGUAUAUUAAAGUUGCUGCAGUUAAAAAGCUCGUAGUUGGAUUUCUGGUUAGACGCGCGUUUCCCGCUGGGGUUCGUCCUCGGUGAGUGAGACGAUCCGUGUCUGCCAUCCUUCCUGGUGUGCCUUUUUGGGCGCGAGCGCUUUUCGGAGUGUUUGCGCCCGAAGGGGGUCAAACAUGCCAGGAUCUUUUACUUUGAAAAAAUUAGAGUGUUUAAAGCAGGCAUUAUUGCAUUUGAAUACAUUAGCAUGGAAUAAUAAUAUAGGACUUCGGUUACUAUUUUGUUGGUUCGAGGAACUGAAGUAAUGAUUGAUAGGGAUAGUUGGGGGUGCUAGUAUUCAGCGGCCAGAGGUGAAAUUCUUGGAUUCGCUGAAGACUAACUUAUGCGAAAGCAUUCACCAAGGAUAUCUUCUUUAA
rnacentral:rRNA from 1 species